AGUUGCAAUGACAAGAACAGGACUGACGCAAAAAUUUUCAUGACGACCCCACGACUUUUUAUGGGAGUUAUUACCCAUGAGGGUCUCUAAGACACCACAAAGGACCUCCUUUGUACACAAAGGAGCACAAGGAAGCACACAAGACCACAAUGUAGCACAAAGGAGUUUAAUAAGAGCACAAAGGACCUUAAAUUGCCAUAUUUGCAAG
rnacentral:lncRNA from 1 species